GAGCAGAAGCCAGUGCACUGGUGUGGCCAUUUGCGUGUAUUUAAAUAGCCUGUGGUAGCUCCCCGUGCUUCUUCGGCGGACGGCUGCUUUUCCCUAACUAGCUCUCUGGUGAUAUGCUACUUCUAGUUCUUGAGAAGUGAAGGUAGAUGAUGAUGUUGCCCCUAAGGAGGACGACGGCUGCGGCGGUUCUGAUGGUCCUGGUGGCUUUCGUCGUCGUCGUCGCCGGUGGCGCAGAGGCGGAGGCGGGACCACAUCGGAUUCUGCUGGACACGGACAUGGACACCGACGACUUGUUGGCGCUGCUCUACAUCCUCAAGCAGAACCGGUCCGAGUUCGACCUCAAGGCAGUUUCCAUCAGUGUCAAUGCAUGGAGUAAUGCCGGACAUGCUGUGAAUCAUCUGUAUGAUAUACUCUAUAUGAUGGGCCGUGAUGACAUUCUGGUUGGUAUUGGUGGUGAUGGUGGUAUCUCAGACUCUGGCACCAUAUAUCCAAAUGUCAGUGGUUAUUUACCACUGAUUGAUCAGGGCAUGACAACAGUAGGAGGCUGCCGGUACAGGCAAGCUAUUCCACAAGGAGGCGGUGGGCGGUUAGACAAGGACACAAACUUUGGAUUGAGAAGGGGCUUCCUUCCGCAGGGACGCAGAAAAUAUACUCCUCUUCAGCAACCUACAGCCCAACAAGUAAUGAUAGAAACAAUAUCUGCUGGUCCUACAACUGUCAUUCUCACAGGAUCACAUACAAACUUUGCCAUUUUUCUCAUGACAUAUCCACACCUGAAAAAGAACGUGGAGCACAUAUACAUUAUGGGUGGUGGAGUGAGAUCAAAGAACCCUACAGGUUGCUGUCCAAAAAAUGCUACCAAAUUCUGCACACCACAGCAGUGUGGUGACCAUGGUAACUUAUUUACUUGUUACACUACAAACCCGAAUGCAGAAUUUAACAUAUUUGGAGAUCCUUUCUCUGCAUACCAGGUUUUUCAUUCUGGAAUUUCAAUCACACUUGUUCCUCUUGAUGCAACCAAUACUAUUCCAAUCAACGAAGAAUUCUUCUAUGAAUUCCAACGCCAUCAGAGUACUUAUGAGGCACAAUACUGUUUUAAAGCUUUAAAGAUGGCUCGAGACACUUGGUUCAAUGAUCAAUUCUAUACAAGCUAUUUUAUGUGGGACUCUUUUACUUCUGGUGUUGCCAUCUCCAGCAUGCGCAAUGAUAAGAGUGGCAAAUUUGGAAAUGAUUUUGCUCAGCUUGAAUAUAUGAACGUUACAGUUAUAACUUCUAAUAAACCAUAUGGUGUGCAUGAUGGCUCAAAUCCAUUAUUCAAAGGUCGUGGAGCCCCCAAGUUUGGUCUUAAAAGAGAUGGAGUUCAUAGCGGUCAUGUUCAAACUGGAAUUACCGAUAACUUCUGCAGCGUCAAGGGAAGUAAUAAAGGAAGAUGUGAGGAUGGAUACACUAAGGAAGUCUCUGGUCCAGAAGCAGUCCACAUUCGUGUUGCUACGAGGGCUAAACCAAAUUUGGAUAAGUAUAGCCCUUUUGACAGGGAAUUUUUCAAAAGCUUUCUAGAGGCACUAAAUCUUCGUGAGAACUCUGGUAGUCUGAACCUUAUGGCACAGUUUCCAUUUUACAGAGAGAUUCUUUACAAGCUAGACUUCAAAAACAAAAAAAUUGGGCCACCUGUUAUUUUUGACAUGGACAUGAGUCCUGGAGAUUUUAUCUCACUUAUAUAUCUCUUGAAGGCGCCUAUUGAAGUAAUAGAUUUAAAGGGGAUUUUGGUCAGUGGCAAUGGUUGGGCCCACAUUGCAAGCAUUGAUAUCAUUUACGAUAUUUUACAUAUGAUGGGCCGUGAUGACAUUCCUGUCGGUCGUGGUAACACCAAUGCAAUAGGAACUCCAAUUCUUGGCUGCAACUAUGCCAGUUUUAUUCCCCAAGGUAGUGGGGGACUUAUUGACUCGGACACUCUAUAUGGGUUAGCUCGGUCAUUGCCAAGAAGUCCUAGAAGGUAUACUGCUGAAAAUUCAGUAAAAUAUGGUGCUCCUAGAAACACUGACCAUCCAGAACUUCGGCAGCCAUUGGCUUUUGAAGUUUGGCAGUCUAUCAAAGAGCAGCUUCCUCCAAGUGAGAAGAUCACUAUUCUUACCAGUGGACCUCUUACAAAUUUGGCCAAUAUAAUGCUCUCUGACAGGAACACAAGUUCUGUAAUAGAGAAGGUUUAUGUUGUUGGAGGUCAUAUUAGAGGUGAAAAUGAUUCCAAGGGAAAUGUGUUUACUGUUCCAUCAAAUAGGUAUGCAGAGUUUAAUAUGUUUCUUGAUCCACUAGCUGCGAAAACAGUCCUGGAGUCCUCUCUGGACAUCACACUGAUUCCUCUGAGGUCUCAAAGAAAAGUUGCUUCCUUUAAAUCUAUCCUUCACGCUUUGAAGCAUACUGAUCACACUCCAGAAUCAAGUUUUGUCCACCGCUUGCUGUUGUUGCUACAUGAACUUCAGCAGAAGCAUCGGCUGUAUCACCAUAUGGAUAUAUUUCUGGGAGAAGUUCUUGGUGCUGUCUACUUGGUGGAAGGAUUUAGUAUGAGACCGUUCAUACAAUCAAUGCCAAUAAGCGUCGUUGCCAACAGCUCAACAAGCACGAACGGGCAGAUUGUGAUCAACAAGCAGAGUGCAAAUUCUGUAAAGGUAUUGGUUGAUUUCAGUAGUGGAAAAUACUACAGCCGAGUUGGCAAAUCUUUAGGCAACAAGGAGCAAUCUGCUGUUGUUGGUAGUUUUGCAGAACAGAAUACCAUCUGGAGCAGGCCACCUGAGAUUCUGAGAAAUUGAAGGCAUAAACACAAAAGAUUAGAUAAAGCAGCCUGAUAAAUUGAUGGCAUAAACCCAAAUGAUAAUUUUUUAUGUACCAUGGAGACUCACCAGCACGUAUACAUGGGUUGCUCCAAGUGGACACUGCUUUUCUUAAACAUAAACGGCAGGAGCUCCGUCUUUCAUUAACAUAAAUAUAUGUACAAGAAGGGGCAAGAGCCCCUAGAAGACACUAGGCUACACAUCUUUCCAAAGGAUUUUUGCUAAUAACCCGAAAUGGCCUAGACGGGGGAGGGGGGCGUGCACGAUGCGGCGGUGAGACUCUAGUUUGUCAUAUGGAGCAGCAAAAUAGAGACGAGACAAAGGAACAAGUGACUGUCUUCCCCUAUUGUCGGCACCGUGUGCAUGCCUAGAGGAGCAUGGCAGCAGCUUGCUUCGCAGUGGGUUAGCAGACAUGCUUGGGUGGGCUCCUUUGCAGUGUUUAGAUGUGUUGCUUUAUUUUUUAGAUAACAGAACAAAAUUCUAGCCUCUACCAUGUGAGGAUGGUACACAACUGAGAGUUCAAACAAUUCUGCAUUGGGCUCUUUCAUCAAUUGAUGUAAAGAUCAAUUAGUUUGCCAUACUUUUUCUUUAGGGGAAGAUAAUAAGAUGGCUCCCUG